rnacentral:rRNA from 1 species
GGUUUGAUCCUGGCUCAGAUUGAACGCUGGCAGGAUGCUUUACAUGCAAGUCGAACGGCAGCACGGACUUCGGUCUGGUGGCGAGUGGCGAACAGGUGAGUAAUGUAUCGGAACGUGCCUAGUAGCGGGGGAUAACUACGCGAAAGCGUAGCUAAUACCGCAUACGCCCUUCGGGGGGAAGCGGGGGACCUUCGGGCCUCUCGCACUAUUAGAGCGGCCGAUAUCGGAUUAGCUAGUUGGUGGGGUAUUAACGAGCUCACCAAGGCGACGUCCGUAGCUGGUUUGAGAGGACGACCAGCCACUGGGACUGAGACACGGCCCAGACUCCUACGGGAGGCAGCAGUGGGGAAUUUUGGACAAUGGGGAAACCCUGAUCCAGCCAUCCCGCGUGUGCGAUGAAGGCCUUCGGGUUGUAAAGCACUUUUGGCAGGAAAGAAACGGCACGGGAUAAUACCCCGUGCAACUGACGGUACCUGCAGAAUAAGCACCGGCUAACUACGUGCCAGCAGCCGCGGUAAUACGUAGGGUGCAAGCGUUAAUCGGAAUUACUGGGCGUAAAGCGUGCGCAGGCGGUUCGGAAAGAAGAUGUGAAAUCCCAGAAGCUUAACUUUGGAACUGCAUUUUUUAACUACCGAGCUAGAGUGUCAUCAGAGGAGGUGGAAUUCCCGCGAUGUAUGAAGUGGAAGUAAACAGAUAUGCGGAGGAACACCGAUGGCGAAGGCAGCCUCCUGGAAUAACCACUGACGCUCAUGCACACAACGUGGGAGCAAACAGGAUUAGAUACCUGGCUGAAGUCCACGCCUAAACGAUGCCAACUAUUCUGUUGGGCCUUCGGGCCUUGGUAGCGCAGCUAACGCGUGAAGUUGUUGCGCUGAAGAAGUGCGUCUGGACAAAACCCAGAAGAAUUGACAGGACCCGCACAAGCGGUGGAUGAUGUGGAUUAAUUCGAUGCAACAUAAGCAACCCGCCCUCACAUGACAUGUCGCGGAAUCCAGAAGAUUUGGGAGUGCUCGCAAGAGAACCGGAACACAGGUGCUGCAUGGCUGUCGUCAGCUCGUGUCGUGAAGAUGUUGGGUUAAGUCCCGCAACGAGCGCAACCCUUGUCAUUAGUUGCUACGAAGGGCACUCUGGUAAGGACUGCUGGUGACAAACCGGAGGAAGGUGAGGACGUCAAGUCCUCAUGGCCCUUAUGGGUAGGGCUUCACAUCAUACAAUGGUCGGGACAGAGGGUCGCCAACCCGCGAGGGGAAUAAUCCCGAGGCGAUCGUAGUCCGGAUCCGCAGUCUGCAGCACCGACUGCGUGAAGUCGGAAUCGCUAGUAAUCGCGGAUCAGCAUGUCGCGGUGAACCACACGUUCCCGGGUCUUGUACACACCGCCCGUCACACCAUGGGAGUGAGUUUUACCAGAAGUAGUUAGCCUAACCGGCAUGCGGGAAGGCGAUUACCACGGCAGGAUUCAUGACUGGGGUGAAGUCGUAACAAGGUAA